GGGCGAGUGGCGAAACUGGCAGACGCGCACGGUUCAGGGCCGUGUGGGAGUAAUCCCAUGGAGGUUCAAGUCCUCUCUCGCCCA
rnacentral:tRNA from 1 species